rnacentral:pre_miRNA from 1 species
UGUAAACAUCCUACACUCUCAGCUGUGGAAAGUAAGAAGGCUGGGAGAAGGCUGUUUACUCU